rnacentral:rRNA from 1 species
AACGCGAAGAACCUUACCUGGGUUUGACAUGCACGUAGUAGUGAAGCGAAAGCGGAUCGAUCCUUCGGGAAGCGUGCACAGGUGCUGCAUGGCUGUCGUCAGCUCGUGCCGUGAGGUGUUCGGUUAAGUCCGGUAACGAGCGCAACCCUCGCUGUUUAGUUACAUGUGUCUAACGGGACUGCCGGUUUAAUGCCGGAGGAAGGUGGGGAUGACGUCAAGUCAGCAUGGCCUCUAUAUCCAGGGCUACACACACGCUACAAUGGCCGGUACAAUGGGUUGCCAAGCCGCGAGGCGGAGCUAAUCCUCCAAAGCCGGUCUCAGUUCGGAUUGCAGNCACUCGACUGCAUGAAGUCGGAGUUGCUAGAACCGCAGUCAGCCAUCUGCGUNAU